ensembl:lncRNA
GGGGGUCUUGGGGGGCCCCAUUUGGGGUCACAGGAUGGGUUGGGGGGCUCCAUUUGGGGUCUUGGAGUGGGGUGGGGUCUCCAUUUGGGGUCUUGGGAUGGGUUGGGGGGCUCCAUUGGGAUCUUGGAGUGGGGUGGGGUCUCCAUUUGGGGUCACAGGAUGGGUUGGGGGGCUCCAAUGGGGUCUCCAUUUGGGGUGGGUUCUCCAUUUGGGGUCAUGGGAUGGGUUGGGGGUCUCCAUUUGGGGUCACGGGAUGGGUUGGGGGCUCCAAUGGAGUCCUGGGAUGGAAUUGGGUCUCCAUUUGGGAUCACGGGAUGGGUUUGGGGUCUCCAUU